rnacentral:rRNA from 1 species
UCAAAAAGGGGCCCCUAACAGUUAUAGUUUAUUUGAUAGUCGAUUUUUACUACAUGGAUAACCGUGGUAAUUCUAUGGCUAAUACAUGCGCAAAUACUGUAUAAUCAUAUUUAUUAUGAUUGUACAGUAGUGUUUAUUAGAUACAGAACCAACAGUGCGCCAUCACUUUUUAGUGGUGGUGUCAAAAGAGAAGGUGAUUCAUAGUAACCGAACGGAUCGCAUCAUAUUAUAAUCAUUUCGGUGAUUGGCGAUAGAUCAUUCAAGUUUCUGACCUAUCAGCUUUCGACGGUAGUGUAUUGGACUACCGUGGCAGUGACGGGUAACGGGGAAUUAGGGUUCGAUUCCGGAGAGGGAGCCUGAGAAACGGCUACCACAUCUAAGGAAGGCAGCAGGCGCGCAAAUUACCCAAUCCUGACUCAGGGAGGUAGUGACAAGAAAUAACAACACUGGAAAUUGUAUUUCUAGUGAUUGGAAUGAUGGGAAUCCAAACCCCUUUCAGAGUAACAAAUUGGGAGGGCAAAGUCUGGUGCCAGCAGCCGCGGGAAUUCCAGCUCCAAAUAGGCG